GCCAAUGCCUUCUGGUGGCCACCCCCUCAUUGUUGCUAUGGCACUGUUGUGCCCUGCUUUCUCACAAGACCUUUGCCAGAAACUCCUCCCUGAUCCUGCCUUAAAUGCAGAGUCCCCUGCCAGCCCCCACCCUUCUUCUUCUCUGACCCCAGGCACUUCACCCCACCCUGGCUUCAGCCUACUUUCCUCACCUGCCCGCGCUCAGCCGGCUGCCUCUUCCCAGUGGGCCGGGACUGAAGGGUAGGGAUUGAGCAGGUGCUCACACGCACCUUCCUACUUGCUCACCUUACUUCCACUUGGAUGUGCUAUCAUCACUCAGGCCAGACGCAUCACCGCGAAGCCCACCCAGCUGCCCUCUCAGAAUGCCCUUCUGCCUGGCCCCAUUGUCCCUGUUCUGAAUAAUGCCACAGCCACUCAGAAACGCGUUGGAAAGGAGAGCAAGUCCUGGAGCCUCCCUUCCACAGCCACUGGGAAAUGAUUCUGAUAGGUGACGUUUUUCCAGUUCCCACUGUGGUCCAAUCCCCACAGAGAAGCUGGGAACAUGGGGCUGGCAUGGCCAGGGGAGGGUCUCAGGGUAGCCUGCCCAUUUUACUGAUAUGUUUCUGUAACAGAAUCCUUGUAGUGGGAAGUCAGCCAUUCCCAGCACAGGCUGGGCACUGCACUGGCAUAGCAGGGUCACCUGUGGGGUGGUGGCGUGGACUGAAAUCUCUCUACAAACAUCCAGUGUGAGCUGCGCUCCAAACAUUUCAUGUGAUGAUGGCCUGUGUUCGUUCUCUCUCUCUCUUUCCCUCUUUUGAGUUAUGUGUGUGUGUGUGUGUGUGUGUGUGUGUGUAUGUAUUUGUGUUGGGGUGGGCAGGUGUGAGUGUAUGACAAAUAUACACAUACAAAUAUAUAUGAAAAGUUUAUAUAUGUGUGUACCUAUAUGUCCACAUAUUUUCAUUCAAUACUCAUCUAUUCAAUCAACUAUUUGAGUGUCAACUAAAUGUGUAUAUAAAUAUAGGACCAUAUUGAUAUUGUAAUUCCUCUCUUGGAUUCAACAUUCUAUGAUGUCCAACUGAAAGUGAUGGUGCUCUUUAUGACAAGAAUAAUCUUUAUUUAAAUGGUUUAGACAUGAGCAGACUUGAUAAUUGUACUAAUAACAUACUUGUAUCGGUGGUAUCCUUGAGAACUAACUCUAAUUCAUUAACAGUUUGAAAACACCAGGUGGAACUUCUUCAGUGAAAACUGCAAAAAUGCACUGCACAUGUGGAGGGGCUAAGGCAAGAUCUGUAUUCUCAUUCCGUAGUUACAGCCUUCAUUUUUGCUUUCUUAGCACUGAAGAUUGCCAGCCAGCCUGAGCAGGAGCCUCACCCAUGGCCCCAGUCCUGCGGGCAGCUGGAGUGGGGCAGAGUGCUAUUUGGUAACCCACACACACACAGGGAGGGCAGAUAUAUCUGGUGUCCCCUACACAGUGUUUAAAUUUUAAAAAAUCACACAAAAAUGAUGGUCACUGUCUUUUCUUGAAAACAUGUGAGUCCAGCUACACCAAGCUUCCCACGGGAUUGCCAUCGGCUGAAGCAGGCUGAGCUGGGUGGGCUCUCCGCGCCACUGUGGGCUCACCAUGCUGUACUGGACUCCACUGGCCUUUGCAAAUGUUUAAAUUCAUGAUCCCAGCUCUACUGAACCAGGAGUUGGCAAGUGUCUUCUGCAGAGGAUCAUGCAGUAAACAUUUCAGGCAUCCGAGCCCCUUCUGUCUCUGUGGCAGCUACUCAGCUCUGCAUUUCUGCUGCAACACAGCCUCAGAUAAUACCUAAGCCAAUGUGCAUUGUUGAGUUUAAUAAAACUUUAUUCAUGGACACUGAAAACUGAAUUCUCUAGAAUUUUUACAUGGCAAAAAAUAUAUUUGUUUUUUUUUGUUGUUGUUCAACCAUUAAAAAAUUUAUACAAGUGAUUAUUAGCUCCAGGGCCUUAAAAAAGCAAGUAGUAGGCCAAGUGUAACCUGUGGGCUACAGUUUGCUGACCACUAGACUAGUACACAGACUUUGAGAAUUAGACAAAUUUUAUUCAAAUCAACUGCUCACAUAAAGCAAUCCGUGUGCAUGAGACUUCACCACGAUACCAGUGCUGGGUGGGCCCCAUCCCUUGCUAUCACAAAUGCUACUCUAAAACUGGAAUGAACACAGACAAGACCAAAGGAGAAAACUACAGAAGAAGGCAUGGGGUCACUGUUGAUUUUGACUGACUGGCUCUCCUGUAGGUAAAUUUCCAGAUGCGGGUAAGACACAGAGAGUGUGACAAGGCCGGGGUAAGAAGGCGUUGGUCACAGGGAUUGCAAACUCAGGCAGAAGGACAAGAGAAUGACGGGCUCCUCCUAACGAAGGGACAAGGAAGCAGCCUCCUGAAUUCAACCUGGAACCUUCCUACAGCAAUUAUGAAAAGGGAACAUACAAGAUUGACCGGAAAAUGGUGACAACCUCAUUCAUUCUCAUCUCUCCCAGAAGGAAAGCAAUUAAAAGGUGAUCUUUAACUCAUGGUUCUCAAGGAGUGUCCUUUAAUUAUGUUUCCCUGCUCCGGCAAGUUUAAUUGUGUACAUUUCUGGCUUCUGUUAGCCUUAAACAUGAUGUGAGACAAGCCGGCAGAGCUUACACUCUGCUCUCUACACGACCUUGUUUUAGGCACCCUGGCCCUAGCAUUUCCAGGGAGAGCAUUGAGCCUUGCAAACUCAAGGCUUUUAGCAUUGCUCUGAAAAGUAAACAAGUGGAGGAUAGAUUCCAAAAUAGUGACCCCGGCUUUCAAGAGCAGGUUUGCUGGUGUCUGUUGGGCUGCAUUGCAGAGACGGUUUCCACGGUUGUCAUGUCCCCACUGAAUAUUAGAAUGGGCUACUCGCCUUUCCUCGAUGUACCCAAACCUCAACAUUAAUCAGACUUUGUAAAUCUCUGAUUUUGUAAAUCAGAUUUUGUUUGUCAAUAUUCUAAUUAAGAGUUUGAGAGACUAGACAUGAG
rnacentral:lncRNA from 1 species